rnacentral:tRNA from 1 species
UUUAAACGGAAUAGAGGUUAGAGCGUAGGUCUCGUAAACGAAAGGUUGCGGGAUCGAAUCCCGCUAGAG